GCCCCGGCUAACUACGUGCCAGCAGCCGCGGUAAUACGUAGGGGGCGAGCGUUGUCCGGAAUUAUUGGGCGUAAAGGGUACGUAGGCGGCUUCUUAAGUUUGACGUGAAAUUCCGGGGCUUAACUCCGGCAAGCGUUGAAAACUGGGGAGCUUGAGUGAUGGAAGGGACAGUGGAAUUCCUGGUGUAGUGGUGAAAUGCGCAGAGAUCAGGAAGAAUACCGGUGGCGAAGGCGACUGUCUGGACAUUAACUGACGCUGAGGUACGAAAGCGUGGGGAGCAAACAGGAUCAGAUACCCUGGUAGUCCACGCUGUAAACGAUGAGUGCUAGAUGUCGGGUGUCAAAGCUCGGUAUCGCCGUUAACACAUUAAGCACUCCGCCUGGGGAGUACGUACGCA
rnacentral:rRNA from 1 species